UGGAACCUACGGGACGCAGCAGUGGGGGAUAUUGCACAAUGGGGGAAACCCUUAUGCAGCGACGCCGCGUGGGCGAAGAAGUAUUUCGGUAUGUAAAGCCCUAUCAGCAGGGAAGAAGAAAUGACGGUACCUGAGUAAGAAGCACCGGCUAAAUACGUGCCAGCAGCCGCGGUAAUACGUAUGGUGCAAGCGUUAUCCGGAUUUACUGGGUGUAAAGGGAGCGUAGGCGGCACGGCAAGCCUGGAGUGAAAGCCCGGGGCCCAACCCCGGGACUGCUCUUGGAACUGCGUGGCUAG
rnacentral:rRNA from 1 species